GGAUAUUUCUGUAAUGCUUGAGAACUAUUACUUUAUAUAUAUUUGGGUGUAAUAUGCUUAUUCAAACUGAAAAAUAGUUAUUCAAAAUGUAGGCUUGGGAGGAGGUCCACAAUGCUUCAUCGGGGAGUUUAUAUGGGUGCAUGAUCAAAGAUGUUCAUGGCCACAAUCUAGCUUUCCCAAUGCAAAACUCAGGACAUUGAUCGACAGAUUAGGAGCUUUAUUCAUAAAGAUGUUUGGAGCAUCUUCCAUCUGUCGUAGAGCCUAUCAAAUAUUAAUAUGGAUCUCCCAACUACACCCCCACCUGCACUGAAUGCUUGCAGAAGGAUACUUCAACCAAACAGAUAAGAACUUAUACUUCCUCCUAUUUUAUUGUUGACUAGUUUCUAUAUAUGUGAACAAUCAAGGCUUCUCAUCAGGUACAGCCUGGUGUAUAACUACCCAGGCACAAAGAGCAGGCUACUCUGAUAAUGUGAUGGACCAUCCAUGCACAUGUAAUGUGGGCCGUCAAUUUCUUCUGUCUACCUCUAGGCCAACUGAUUUGUUGUCGCGGCCUGUUUCGUGGGCCAUCCAUGCACAUAAUUGGUGAGCUUUACUAGCUUCCCUGGACAUUUGAUGUAUAUUUUUUAACCCUCCAUUCAUAGGAUAUUGCUCGAGGAAUUAGGAGCUUCAAUCUGUAGGAAUUUUGGAGCAUCUUCCACCCAAGAGACCAAUAUUUUGUUUCUUCCAACCACAGCCCCAGCUGUACAGACUGUGGCACCUGGACACUUAACGCCCUCCUGUUUUAUUCUUAAUGCUCUUUAUUUCACAUGAUAGACUGUGACAACACACCCAUGUGAAGCAUCUCAACAGAUAAGGAAGAUGGUGGCAUGGGAAUCGAUUACCUUUUCGGUGGUUUCUUUCCUCACUUCCUCUUGUAAUGAAGGGCGGCUCAAGAGAAAUACAGUCAUUGUAGGAAGAAUUAAGGAUAAUCUUAUCCUCUCAGCGAUGAACAUACAAAGCUUUCAAAAGCCUUUAACUGGCAUCUCCAUGCAACAUA